rnacentral:rRNA from 1 species
UACGUAGGGUGCAAGCGUUGUCCGGAAUUAUUGGGCGUAAAGAGCUCGUAGGUGGUUUGUCGCGUUGUUCGUGAAAACUCACAGCUUAACUGUGGGCGUGCGGGCGAUACGGGCAGACUGGAGUACUGCAGGGGAGACUGGAAUUCCUGGUGUAGCGGUGGAAUGCGCAGAUAUCAGGAGGAACACCGGUGGCGAAGGCGGGUCUCUGGGCCGAUACUGACGCUGAGGAGCGAAAGCAUGGGUAGCGAACAGG